CCUCCUACCUUGUGACGGAGCCGGACUCCGCCGAGAGAUUGCACCGGCCACGUGUAAUCUCCCUCUCGAACUCCUUGCUCCGCACGUUUGCCCCUUUAAAUACUCACCCCGACCCUCGCCUAGCCCCCUACCAAAUCCCAGAGCCGACCGUCGCCUUGUGCUCGCCGAAAACCGCCGACGAGAUCCGGGUCGAAGCCAAUCCGCCGCUGCUUCGCGUGUUUGUCACCGUGAGCGACUCGCCGAGACCCCUCGUUUCCGUUCUCAUGCUCUCUGUUCUUUCCUAACCCCCGCCGAACUUCUUGCAGAGCCACCGUCCGCCCCUUGCUGUCGCAAGCCCGAGUCGGACUCUGUCGGUUCCAACCUUGGCCCCAGGUGAGUUCGCACCGAGCUCCUCCGCGUUCUGGUGCUUUCGGUUUAGUCUCUCGUGCCCUAAAUCGCUCAAACCGUAAGCGCCGGCCAACUCCGGCCAUGGCGCCACCAGGGUU
rnacentral:lncRNA from 1 species